GAUGAACGCUGGCGGCGUGCUUAACACAUGCAAGUCGAACGAAGCACUUUAUUUGAUUUCCUUCGGGACUGAUUAUUUUGUGACUGAGUGGCGGACGGGUGAGUAACGCGUGGGUAACCAGCCUUGUACAGGGGGAUAACAGUUGGAAACGGCUGCUAAUACCGCAUAAGCGCACAGCAUCGCAUGAUGCAGUGUGAAAAACUCCGGUGGUAUAAGAUGGACCCGCGUUGGAUUAGCUAGUUGGUGAGGUAACGGCCCACCAAGGCGACGAUCCAUAGCCGACCUGAGAGGGUGACCGGCCACAUUGGGACUGAGACACGGCCCAAACUCCUACGGGAGGCAGCAGUGGGGAAUAUUGCACAAUGGGCGAAAGCCUGAUGCAGCGACGCCGCGUGAGCGAAGAAGUAUUUCGGUAUGUAAAGCUCUAUCAGCAGGGAAGAUAAUGACGGUACCUGACUAAGAAGCACCGGCUAAAUACGUG
rnacentral:rRNA from 1 species